rnacentral:rRNA from 1 species
GACAGAGGGGGCAAGCGUUGCUCGGAAUCACUGGGCGUAAAGGGCGCGUAGGCGGGAUGGCAAGUCGGUCGUGAAAUCCUUCGGCUCAACCGAAGAACGUCGGCCGAUACUGCCGUUCUUGAGGGAUGCAGAGGAGAUUGGAAUUCCCGGUGUAGCGGUGAAAUGCGUAGAUAUCUGGAGGAACACCGGUGGCGAAGGCGGCAUCCUGGACCGACACUGACGCUGAGGCGCGAAAGCUAGGGUAGCAAACGGG